rnacentral:lncRNA from 1 species
CAUUAACAGAGAGGCCAGGAGAAAGGGAAAAAAGGAUGAUGGAUUCUAUACUAACAGGAACUGGAAGAAACAUUUUCAUAAGGGCGAGAGGUGGCUACCUGAUAUGAUCAACACCUUUCCUUUAAGCUUUCCUUUAAGGUUCAGCCUUGAGGGAAGACUUUGCAGGUAACUAUUUCCUCUCAAAAUGCAGCAAAAUUCCUUUGUUCAAUAUAUAAUUUUGCACUCACUCUGUUAAAUCCUUGCAUAUAGUAUAUUAAUUAAUCCUCACAACACAUCUUAAAAUGAGGUAUUAUCAUCUCACUUUCCGCUUAAUGAAAAUGAGGUUUAGAAUGUUUCAUUCAUUCAUUCCAUAAAUAUCUACUGAGAGCCAACCAUUCCGUCUAGCAACA